rfam:Aedes albopictus isolate Foshan contig55209, whole genome shotgun sequence.
UGCCUAGCAACUCCUAUCCUUACCUCCUCGUGAUACCGGCCGGAAACUACGAGCAACCUUAGGGAAGAUCGGGUAACCAACCCCGGUGGGAACUUUGGUCGUAGGCUGACAUGGACGG